rnacentral:rRNA from 1 species
GACGAACGCUGGCGGCGUGCUUAACACAUGCAAGUCGAACGGUGAACCUCUUCGUAGGGGAUCAGUGGCGAACGGGUGAGUAACACGUGGGCAACCUGCCCCCGGCUCUGGGAUAACUCCAUGCUAUUGGGGCUAAUACCCUUUGUUCACCGCUUCCCGCACGUUUGGUUGUGGCCAGGGUUUCUGGCUGGGGAUGGGAGCUCGGCCUAUCCGCUUGCUGGUGGGGUAGUGGCCUACCAAGGCGACGACGGGUAGCCGGCCUGAGAGGGGGACCGGCCACACUGGGACGGAAACGAGGCACGGACUCCAAUGGGAGGCAGCGGUGGGGAAUAUUGCGCAAGGGGCGGAGGGCAGACGCAGCGAAGCAGCGUGGGGGAUGACGGCAUGCGGGUUGGAAACCUAAGUCAGCAGGGACGAAGCGAAAGUGACGGUACCUGCAGAAGAAGCACCGGCUAACUACGUG